AGUCAUUUGAACAGCAGGAUCACCCCACACCACUCAGCACUGGAAAACCAUUCGCUUUUAACAGCCUGGAAUCCUGGAAAUUGGAGCAUUAAGGAAAGCCUUCAACUCCACAAUCAUGUCCUUGCAUUUCUGGAUGCCACCACAAUGAACCAAACAUUUUGCUGAACAUUGGUUAGGCUUCUAUGGAUAAUUUGGAUGGAUGGUGAGCUACCCUUGAAAGAACUGAGAAGAUUCACCCCUUCACCCACCCCACGCAUUGUCAGGCCUCAAGCCUCACAGCUCCAGCCCUUCCCCAAUGACCAGUGUGAAAAUAUUGCAGGGAGUAAUGAAGCAAGAAGAAGCUGCCAUGCUGAGCUUUGAGAUGAAUAGCAGUUCCAAGUAAUGUGGACUGUUUUGAUGUUUUUUUUAUUUUUUUAUUCUUUGCAUUGAAACUGGGCCACCACUACAUUGUGUCCACCUGUUAAUUAGCAUGUGUCUCUUUUGCAGACGCCACACAUAAAUCAGCAUAGUUGAGACCAAGACUCCCUCAUGUGCCUUUUGUGAGAAAGCUGCAAUGAUGAUGCCUCUUUCCAGUGGUAUAGCACACAAAUGUAAGCCUGUACAUAAGCAGUCUCUGUGGGCUCCUUUGCACAUUUAGCACAUCUAUUUUCAUGCCUAACUAAAUCAAACACAUGCAUCUUUAAUAGUCUGUAGGGUUAUGACAUCCUGUGCAAUAUGAAAUAUCAGCAUAUUACCAAAGUAACAAUGUUGUUUUGCUACGAGAGCAACAACUAUUGAACAUUUAAAAAUGAUUAUACAACAGUUUUGAAAACAAAAAAGAAAAGUAAAGAAGCACAAGAAC